UCCGGGACCAGAGGCUGGCGCCAGGGCGCAUUUCCGGCGAGGGACACGAAGGGAAGGAUCCGGUGACGCCUCUUCCCGUCCCCCUAGUCACCCAGGCUCCAGCUCUCGGUGCGGCAGCGCCAUCUGGUGCCGCGUCUCCCGCCGCCUGCGAAGGGGGCGCGCGCACCUUUCUUUCGGAACCUUCCAGAGAAAUCGCGGCCCCGGCGUAUUUUUCCCCCUCGCCCCACGGAAGGGAGGCACCCCAGUCUCCGCCCUGCCGGUUCCCGCGCAGGAGGUGGUUUGCAACCUGAAGAACAGAAAGAAAAAUGAACAGAGUCUCAAAGAUCCGUAGUACAGAGAAGCAUACAAACACACGUAUUAGGAGCCGUAGAAGAAGAGAAAGAGAAGACUGUGUGGUUUAGAAAGUGUAUGAAGAAAAGAUGACCAAGUACUUUCCAAAUUUGAUGACGAGCAUUAAUAUACAAUCCAAGAAGCUCAAUAAACUCCAAAGACUAUUAACCCAAAUAAAUUUAUACCAAGAUACGUUAUAUUCAAACUGUUGAAAGACAAAGAGAGCAUCUUGUGGUGCAGCAAAAGAAAAGUGACUCAUCAUGUAACAGUGGAAACAGUAAGAUUAAGAGGGGAUUUCUCAUCAGAAAUUGAGGCCCAACGGCAGUAGAAUGACAUAUUCAAAGAAAAAAACCUGCCAACCAAAAAUCCUGUAUAUGGAAAAACUUCUUCAAAAACUGAAGGGAGAAUGAAGACAAUCUCAGAUAAACAAAGACAAUUUGUUUUUACCACAUCUGCCUUACAAGAAAUACUAAAGAAAACCCUUCAGGCUGAAUGGAAAUGACAACAGAUGGUAACUCGAAUCCACAUGAAGAAAUAACACUGGAAAAGGUAAUUACAUGGAAAGACGGAGAAACUUAAAUGCAAAUUACUAAAUGGAAGAACUCAAUCUGAAAAGGGUAUCUACUGUACGAUUCCAACUAUAUAACAUUCUGGAAGGGGCAAAAUAGGAAGACCAAAAAGAUCGGUGGGUGCAGGGGUCAGGAGGGGAUAAAUAAGCAGAACACAGGGAUUUUUAGGGCAGUGAAAAUAUUCUGUAUAAUGUUAUAAUGAUGGACAUAUAAUAGACUGGGUCCAAACCCAUAGAAAUGUGCAACAUCAAGAGUGAACCAUAAGGUAAACUAUGGACUUUGGGUGAUCACAGUGUGCCAGUGUGGGUUCAUCCAUGGUAACAAAUGUACCACUCUGGUGGGGGGAUGCUGAUAAUGAGAGAGACUAUGCUUGUGUGGGGGUAGGGGUUCUAUGGUAAAUCUCUGUACCUCUCACUCCAAUUUAGGUUGUAAACCUCAAACUUCUCUAAAACAUAAAGUCUUAAUUCAGGGGAAAAUUUUUUGUAAUUUACCCAAUUACAUAGGUAAAUAUAAAGGACUACAGAAAUACUAUCUAAAUACUUACAAUACAAUGUAAAUACUUAUAAAGACAAAUAGUUUUGUCUUUCCUCUUAACUGAUUUACAACACAAAUGCAUAAAACAAUAAUUACAAAACUUAUUGAGCUUAUAUAAUGAUGUGAUUAUGGCAAUGAUAACAUGAAGGGAAAAGAAAUACACCUAUGUUAAAGCAAAA